GGCGAGUGAAGCGGCAACAGCUCAAAUUUGAAAUCUGGGCCCCAGCGGCCCCGAGUUGUAAUUUGUAGAGGAUGUUUCGGGUGAGGCACCGAUCUAAGUUCCUUGGAACAGGGCGUCAUAGAGGGUGAGAAUCCCGUAUGCGACCGGUGACCGAUCCCAUGUGAAACUCCUUCGACGAGUCGAGUUGUUUGGGAAUGCAGCUCAAAAUGGGUGGUAAAUUUCAUCUAAAGCUAAAUACUGGCCAGAGACCGAUAGCGCACAAGUAGAGUGAUCGAAAGAUGAAAAGCACUUUGGAAAGAGAGUUAAAAAGUACGUGAAAUUGUUGAAAGGGAAGCGCUUGCAGCCAGACUCGACCGGGGGUGAUCAGCCGUCCUUUUGGGCGGUGCACUCUCCCCCGGGCGGGCCAGCAUCGGUUCGGGCGGCCGGAUAAAGGCCUUGGGAACGUAGCUCCUCUCGGGGAGUGUUAUAGCCCAAGGUGCAAUGCGGCCAGCCUGGACCGAGGACCGCGCUUUUUGCUAGGAUGCUGGCGUAAUGGCUGUCAGCGACCCGUCUUGAAACACGGACCAAGGAGUCGACCAACCGUGCGAGUGUUUGGGUGUCAAACCCGUGCGCGUAAUGAAAGUGAACGGAGGUGAGAACCCCUUACGGGGCGCAUCAUCGACCGAUCCUGAUGUCUUCGGAUGGAUUUGAGUAAGAGCACAGCUGGUCGGACCCGAAAGAUGGUGAACUAUGCGUGAAUAGGGUGAAGCCAGAGGAAACUCUGGUGGAGGCUCGCAGCGGUUCUGACGUGCAAAUCGAUCGUC
rnacentral:rRNA from 1 species